AUUCCCCUUCUCCAAGGCAAGUCAUUAAAGCGCCCUGGCAUUGCCUGAGGAUAGACGAAGGAGAAAGCACAUGUCCCUCCCCAGCAAGACCCCACUUUCUUUUGGGGCCUGCAGGUGGAGCUGACAGU
ensembl:snoRNA